rnacentral:rRNA from 1 species
GGGGAUGAAAAUAAUAAGUUCUUUCAUGCAGCAACCAAUUGUCAGUCUAGACGUAACAAGAUUAAGGUCAUUGUUCAUGAUGGUGUGGAGUUCUUUGAUACCCAAAAUAAGUUGCAGCUGGCUAUGCGCUACUUGUCUGAUUUGUUGGGACAAUCAUCUCCAUCUCUGCCAACAGUUCAGCUUGGUGAUCUCUAUGGGGUCCUGGACUUAGCUUGUCUUCAACAGGAAUUCACUUGGACUGAAAUUAUCAGCGCUAUCGACCACUCUCCAAACAACAGAAGUCCUGGCCCAGACGGCUUCACAAACGAAUUCUUCAAGACCUUUCACUCCAAUAUUAAAGAGGAUCUGCAAUUCUUCUUCUCACAGUUGUACCAUCAUCAGGUUGAUUUUGCCGGGAUCAACACGGCUUACAUCUCCCUCCUGCCUAAGAAAGAAACUCCGCUUGAGUUGCGCGACUUUCGGCCCAUUUCUAUUGUGCACAGCGUGCCUAAGCUUGGCACUAAAGUUCUUGCAAGGACGCUUCAG